UGGCGCACGGGUGCGUAACGCGUGGGAAUCUACCCUUAGGUUCGGAAUAACAGUUGGAAACGACUGCUAAUACCGGAUGAUGACGUAAGUCCAAAGAUUUAUCGCCUAGGGAUGAGCCCGCGUAGGAUUAGCUAGUUGGUGUGGUAAAGGCGCACCAAGGCGACGAUCCUUAGCUGGUCUGAGAGGAUGAUCAGCCACACUGGGACUGAGACACGGCCCAGACUCCUACGGGAGGCAGCAGUGGGGAAUAUUGGACAAUGGGCGAAAGCCUGAUCCAGCAAUGCCGCGUGAGUGAUGAAGGCCUUAGGGUUGUAAAGCUCUUUUACCCGGGAUGAUAAUGACAGUACCGGG
rnacentral:rRNA from 1 species